CCUACGGGCGGCUGCAGUGGGGAAUAUUGGACAAUGGGCGAAAGCCUGAUCCAGCCAUGCCGCGUGUGUGAAGAAGGCCUUCGGGUUGUAAAGCACUUUCAGUGGGGAAGAAAGCCUUGGGGCUAAUACCCUCGAGGAAGGACAUCACCCACAGAAGAAGCACCGGCUAACUCCGUGCCAGCAGCCGCGGUAAUACGGAGGGUGCGGGCGGUAAUCGGAAUUACUGGGCGUAAAGCGCGCGUAGGCGGUCUGAUAAGCCGGUUGUGAAAGCCCCGGGCUCAACCUGGGAACGGCAUCCGGAACUGUCAGGCUAGAGUGCAGGAGAGGAAGGUAGAAUUCCCGGUGUAGCGGUGAAAUGCGUAGAGAUCGGGAGGAAUACCAGUGGCGAAGGCGGCCUUCUGGACUGACACUGACGCUGAGGUGCGAAAGCGUGGGUAGCAAACAGGAUUAGAUACCCUUGUAGUC
rnacentral:rRNA from 1 species